GACGAACCGUGCAAACGUUGUUCGGAAUCACUGGGCAUAAAGGGCGCGUAGGCGGCCCGACCAGUCUGCGGUGAAAGCCCCCCGCUCAACGGGGGAAGGGCCGUGGAUACUGUCGGGCUCGAGGGAGACAGGGGCAGGUGGAACUUCCGGCGGAGCGGUGAAAUGCGUUGAGAUCGGAAGGAACUCCGGUGGCGAAAGCGGCCUGCUGGAUCUCUACUGACGCUGAGGCGCGAAAGCCAGGGGAGCAAACGGG
rnacentral:rRNA from 1 species